GAGAGUAUAGCUUAGUGGUAGAGUACAUGCUUAGCGUGCAUGAGGCCCUGGGUUCAAUCCCCAGUACCUCCG
rnacentral:tRNA from 1 species